UACGUAGGGUGCGAGCGUUGUCCGGAUUUAUUGGGCGUAAAGAGCUCGUAGGCGGUUUGUCGCGUCGGCCGUGAAAUCUCCACGCUUAACGUGGAGCGUGCGGUCGAUACGGGCAGACUUGAGUUCGGUAGGGGAGACUGGAAUUCCUGGUGUAGCGGUGAAAUGCGCAGAUAUCAGGAGGAACACCGGUGGCGAAGGCGGCUCACUGGCUCGUAACUGACGCUCAUGCACGACAGCGUGGGGAUCAAACAGG
rnacentral:rRNA from 1 species